CAAUAGCGUAUAUUAAAGUUGUUGCGGUUAAAAAGCUCGUAGUUGGAUUUCUGCUGAGGACGAUCGGUCCGCCCUCUGGGUGAGUAUCUGGCUCGGCCUUGGCAUCUUCUUGGAGAACGUUACUGCACUUGACUGUGUGGUGCGGUAUCCAGGACUUUUACUUUGAGGAAAUUAGAGUGUUUCAAGCAGGCGCACGCCUUGAAUACAUUAGCAUGGAAUAAUAAGAUAGGACCUUGGUUCUAUUUUGUUGGUUUCUAGAGCUGAGGUAAUGAUUAAUAGGGAUAGUUGGGGGCAUUCGUAUUUAACUGUCAGAGGUGAAAUUCUUGGAUUUGUUAAAGAUGGACUACUGCGAAAGCAUUUGCCAAGGAUGUUUUCAUUGA
rnacentral:rRNA from 1 species